rnacentral:tRNA from 1 species
GGCCUUGUGGUGAAGUGGUAACAUUCCUGCUUUGGGUGCAGGAGAUCCCGGGUUCAAACCCCGGCGGGGCCC